rnacentral:rRNA from 1 species
AGAGCGUAUGGGGGAUGCCUUGGCUCUCAGAGGCGAUGAAGGACGUGAUAAGCUGCGAAAAGCUGUGGGGAGUCGCAAAUAGACGCUAUAUCCACAGAUGUCCGAAUGGGGCAACCCACUAAGUCGAAGACUUAGUACCUCGCAAGAGGAGCAAACCCGGAGAACUGAAACAUCUAAGUACCCGGAGGAAGAGAAAACAACAGUGAUUGCGCAAGUAGUGGCGAGCGAACGCGCAAGAGCCCAAACCACAUUAGUUACGGCUAGUGUGGGGUUAUAGGACUACAUAAUCAAAACCGAAACAGAUUUGAACUGGGUGGGAAACCAGGCCAUAGAGGGUGAUAGCCCCGUAAUAGAAAGUAGAGGGGAGAGGUAGUAUCCUGAGUAGGGCGGGGUCGGAGACGCCCCGUUUGAAUUUGCCGGCACCAUCCGGUAAGGCUAAACACUCCUGAGAGACCGAUAGUGAACCAGUACUGUGAAGGAAAGGUGAAAAGCACUUCGAACAGAAGGGUGAAAGAAGAACCUGAAACCAUACGCUUACAAGCGGUCAGAGCUCCGCAAUGGAGUGAUGGCGUGCCUUUUGCAUAAUGAGCCUACGAGUUACUGUCACUGGCAAGGUUAAGCGACUUAAGUUGCGCAGCCGGAGCGAAAGCGAGUCUGAAUAGGGCGCAUAGUCAGUGGGAGUAGACGCGAAACUUUGUGAUCUACCCUUGGUCAGGAUGAAGUUCCGGUAACACGGGAUGGAGGUCCGAACUAGUAAACGUUGAAAAGUUUUUGGAUGAACUGAGGGUAGGGGUGAAAGGCUAAUCAAACUGAGAAAUAGCUCGUACUCCCCGAAAUGUUUUUAGGAACAGUGUGGAGGUUGAGUUUGUUAGAGGUAGAGCUACCAAUUGGACUAGGGGGAGUCACAUCCUACCAAAUCCAGAUGAACUCCGAAUGCUAACAAAUAUACUCUGCAAUGAGGGCGCGGGUGCUAAGGUCCGUGUCCGAGAGGGAAAGAACCCAGACCUACAGCUAAGGUCCCAAAAUCUAUACUAAGUUGAACUAAGGUGGUUCAGUUGCUGAGACAGCCAGGAGGUUAGCUUGGAAGCAGCUAUUCCUUUAAAGAGUGCGUAACAGCUCACUGGUCGAGCGACAGAGCAUCGAUAAUAAUCGGGCAUCAAGUAUAGUACCGAAGCUUAGGAUUUGCAGCAAUGCAAGUGGUAGGGGAGCAUUCUAACAGCGGAGAAGUCGUGUGGUAAUGCACGGUGGAGCGGUUAGAAAAGCAAAUGUAGGCAUAAGUAACGAUAAGGCAGGUGAGAAACCUGCCCACCGAUAGACUAAGGGUUCCGCGGCAAUGUUAAUCAUCCGCGGGUAAGUCGGGUCCUAAGACGAAACCGAAAGGUGUAGCCGAUGGCCAACUGGUUAAUAUUCCAGUACUACCGUAAUGAGCGAUGUGGAGAAGGAGUAGUGAAAGUUCCGCGAUCUGACGAAAUAGAUCGUUAAAAGGCGUAGGUAUAGAGUUUGUUGGCAAAUCCGCAGACUUUGCUGAAACCCAAUAGUACCAGGAGGCUUCGGCCAAAUGGAUAGAGAACCUAAUCAGACUUCCGAGAAAAUCUGCUAAGCAUAUUGUUAUGGUACCCGUACCGCAAACCGACACAGGUAGUCAAGGAGAGAAUCCUGAGGUGCUCGAGUGAAUCAUGGCUAAGGAACUCGGCAAAAUUACCCUGUAACUUCGGGAGAAGGGGUGCCUCGCUGUAGCAAUACAGCAGGUCGCAGAGAAAUGGCCCAGGCGACUGUUUAACAAAAACACAUGGCUUUGCGAAAUCGAAAGAUGAAGUAUAAGGCCUGACACCUGCCCGGUGCUGGAAGGUUAAGGGGGGAUGUUAGUGGGGUAACCUGCGAAGCAUUGAACUGAAGCCCCAGUAAACGGCGGCCGUAACUAUAACGGUCCUAAGGUAGCGAAAUUCCUUGUCGGGUAAGUUCCGACCUGCACGAAUGGUGUAACGAUCUGGGCGCUGUCUCGGCCAUGAGCUCGGUGAAAUUGUAGUCACGGUGAAGAUGCCGUGUACCCGUCACGGGACGGAAAGACCCCAUGCACCUUUACUAUAGCUUCACAUUGACAUUGGGAAGAUGAUGUGUAGGAUAGGCGGGAGGCUUGUAUCCGUGGCCGCUAGGUUACGG